ACCUUGUAGUUGUGACGGCGUGCCUUUUGAAGAAUGAGCCUGCGAGUUAGUGWUAYGUSGCGAGGUUAACCCGUGUGGGGCAGCCGUAGCGAAAGCGAGUCUGAAUAGGGCGAUUCAGUCGCAUGUCCUAGACCCGAAGCGAAGUGAUCUACCCAUGGCCAGGUUGAAGCGACGGUAAGACGUCGUGGAGGACCGAACCCACUUCAGUUGAAAAUGGAGGGGAUGAGCUGUGGGUAGGGGUGAAAGGCCAAUCAAACUUCGUGAUAGCUGGUUCUCCCCGAAAUGCAUUUAGGUGCAGCGUUGCGUGUUUCUUAUCGGAGGUAGAGCUACUGGAUGGCUAAUGGGCCCUACAAGGUUACUGACGUCAGCCAAACUCCGAAUGCCGGUAAGUGAGAGCGYAGCAGUGAGACUGUGGGGGAUAAGCUUCAUAGUCGAGAGGGAAACAGCCCAGACCACCAACUAAGGCCCCUAAGCGUGUGCUAAGUGGGAAAGGAUGUGGAGUUGCGAAGACAACCAGGAGGUUGGCUUAGAAGCAGCCAUCCUUAAAAGAGUGCGUAAUAGCUCACUGGUCAAGUGAUUCCGCGCCGACAAUGUAGCGGGGCUCAAGUACACCGCCGAAGUUGUGGAUUUCAGACAUUAGCCAAGCCCUUGUGGUUCAGGCGUYUGGAKKGGUAGGGGAGCGUCGUGUGGGCAGUGAAGUCGCGGUGGAAACCAGCGGUGGAGCCUACACGAGUGAGAAUGCAGGCAUGAGUAGCGAAAGACGGGUGAGAAACCCGUCCGCCGAAUGAUCAAGGGUUCCAGGGUCAAGCUAAUCUGCCCUGGGUAAGUCGGGACCUAAGGCGAGGCCGACAGGCGUAGUCGAUGGACAACGGGUUGAUAUUCCCGUACCGGCGAAAAACCGCCCAUGYUGAACAGGGGAUACUAACYGCCCGARACCUGCCCGAUCRCCCUUGUGGUGUGAGGGUUUUGGUGGAGCGCGGGACCUGAUCCUGGGAGGCAAGCGUAUUAACAGGUGUGACGCAGGAAGGUAGCCGAGCCGGGCGAUGGUUGUCCCGGUCUAAGGAUGUAGGGCGAGUGGUAGGCAAAUCCGCCACUCAUGAUGCCUGAGAUCUGAUGGGACYCCCGUWWGGGGGGAUUYGGUGAUCCUAUGCUGCCRAGAAAAGCAUCGACGCGAGGUUYUAGCCGCCCGUACCCCAAACCGACWCAGGUGRUCAGGUAGAGAAUACUAAGGMGAUCGAGAGAAUUAUGGUUAAGGAACUCGGCAAAAUGCCCCCGUAACUUCGGGAGAAGGGGGGCCCCCAUCGUGAUGGACACUAGCUGU
rnacentral:ncRNA from 1 species